GACGAACGCUGGCGGCGUGCUUAACACAUGCAAGUCGAACGGAAAGGCCCUGCUUUUGUGGGGUGCUCGAUUGGCGAACGGGUGAGUAACACGUGAGUAACCUGCCCUUGACUUUGGGAUAACUUCAGGGAACUGGGGCUCAUACCGGAUAGGAGCUCCUGCUGCAUGGUGGGGGUUGGAAAGUUUCGGCGGUUGGGGAUGGACUCGCGGCUUAUCAGCUUGUUGGUGGGGUAGUGGCUUACCAAGGCUUUGACGGGUAGCCGGCCUGAGAGGGUGACCGGCCACAUUGGGACUGAGAUACGGCCCAGACUCCUACGGGAGGCAGCAGUGGGGAAUAUUGCACAAUGGGCGGAAGCCUGAUGCAGCAACGCCGCGUGCGGGAUGACGGCCUUCGGGUUGUAAACCGCUUUCGCCUGUGACGAAGCGUGAGUGACGGUAAUGGGUAAAGAAGCACCGGCUAACUACGUG
rnacentral:rRNA from 1 species